UCAAGCUGGCAUUGGAAUCUCAACCGUCAGCUUCCUCAUUUUCUUCCACGUCAUUACACUUUUCCUGUAAUGCAGGCCUAAGCCCACUGACCUGGCCAUAUAUCAUGUGGCCCUCAUCCACAGUGAUGCUUCUCGCUAAGGUGUCAUUGUUGGCUCCAGGUCUGUUUGAGUCACUGUAUUUUCUGAAUGAUUUCAAGUGUGAAGUGUUUUUCUAUCGAACAAGGUGAUAUGAAGUUUCUCCAUCUGCACUACCUGCCUCCUGAGUGUGCUUCAAGCCAUAAUCAUCAGCCCCAGCAGCUCUUUGGUGGUACCAGAAAUAAUCCAGUACUUUCAUAGCACCAGCCUCUCCCCAAGACUGUCCCCAGAGAAAAGUGCCACUCAGACCAUCCUGCUGCCAGUGAGUUACUUUGCAUCAUCUAUUGGGUUGAUUUCAUCAUCUCAUUCACCGCAACCCUGAUAGGUGCAUAUGACCCUGUUGUUUUGGGUGUCCAGAGGCUUGUGGGCAAUAUAUAUGCCACUUUCAGUCCUUUGGUGCUACUCAGAUCUGAUAAAGGGAUAAUCAAUGUGAUGCUGACUGAGACAGGUUAACAAGUUAUUUUAUUAAAAACAGAUAAUUCUGUCACCAAAUUAUUUCAGUAGUACAGAGCUUGCUAUCUAAUUUAAAUUAAAUGUAUGAAUUUACACUUUCAA